CAGUGUGUAACUCAAUGGUAGAGAGCUCGGUUUGGAACCGAGGGACGGAAGUUCGAUUCUUCCCACACUGACCA
rnacentral:tRNA from 1 species